UAUUGAAACACCGGUUCCCGUACGAUCACCGAAGUUAAGAAACGUCGGAUUUGGUCAGUAGCUAGAUGGGUGACAGCUUGGGAAUACCAGGUGUUGUAA